rnacentral:lncRNA from 12 species
AUGGGUAGGAGUGGGCGAGGAAUCUUUUUCUUUAUUUUCUCUCUUUUCUUUUCUUUCUUUUUUUCUUUUAUUUUCCUUUUCAUUUCCUGUCCUUUCCUGUCCUUUUUGUCUUUCUUUUUUAAGCAUGGACAGCCUGGUCCGAGUGUGCAAAGCUGUGGCUUCCCCUCCUGUGGAUGCCUUCUGAACAGCAGAUCUGACUUCCUCCUCAAACCAAGGCAUCCUGAAAACAUCCAAGCAGAGGAAGCAUUUUUUCACCAUGACAUGGGAAAGGGCCAUAGAGAUCCAAAUGGAAACGGACAUUUCAUAGUGUGUUUCACAAUGACAGAAGACGGGAUGAUAAAGUUAGAUGUUACAGACAUACAGAUGAAUUUUCUGCGGCAAAUCUGCACCUUGCAGAGGAAGUUACUUGGAGGCAAAGCAAGCUAA